GAAUAAACCCGACAGUAGCGAAAAUCCUUUUUGUUGCUCCUUCGAUAAACUCAGGAAGACAGACACAAAAAGAUUGUAGCGAAUGGCGGGGCUAACG
rfam:Pedobacter ginsenosidimutans strain KACC 14530 contig03, whole genome shotgun sequence.